AACGAACGCUGGCGGCAUGCCUAACACAUGCAAGUCGAACGAGACCUUCGGGUCUAGUGGCGCACGGGUGCGUAACGCGUGGGAACCUGCCCUUAGGUUCGGAAUAACUCCCCGAAAGGGGUGCUAAUACCGGAUAAUGUCUUCGGACCAAAGAUUUAUUGCCUUUGGAUGGGCCCGCGUUGGAUUAGCUCGUUGGGAGGGUAAAAGCCUACCAAGGCGACCAUCCAUAGCUGGUCUGAGAGGAUGAUCAGCCACACUGGGACUGAGACACGGCCCAGACUCCUACGGGAGGCAGGAGUGGGGAAUAUUGGACAAUGGGCGAAAGCCUGAUCCAGCAAUGCCGCGUGAGUGAUGAAGGCCUGAGGGUUGUAAAGCUCUUUUACCCGGGAUGAUAAUGACAGUACCGGGAGAAUAAGCCCCGGCUAACUCCGUG
rnacentral:rRNA from 1 species